rnacentral:rRNA from 1 species
GAUGAACGCUGGCGGCGUGCCUAAUACAUGCAAGUCGAGCGAACAGACGAGGAGCUUGCUCCUCUGACGUUAGCGGCGGACGGGUGAGUAACACGUGGAUAACCUACCUAUAAGACUGGGAUCACUUCGGGAAACCGGAGCUAAUACCGGAUAAUAUAUUGAACCGCAUGGUUCAAUAGUGAAAGACGGUUUUGCUGGCACUUAUAGAUGGUUCCGCGCCGCAUUAGCUAGUUGGUAAGGUAACGGCUUACCAAGGCAACGAUGCGUAGCCGACCUGAGAGGGUGGUCGGCCACACGGGAACUGAGACACGGUCCAGACGCCUACGGGAGGCAGCAGUAGGGAAUGUGCCGCAAUGGGCGAAAGCCUGACGGAGCAGCGCCGCGUGAGUGAUGAAGGUCUUCGGAUCGUAAAACUCUGUUAUUAGGGAAGAACAAAUGUGUAAGUAACUGUGCACGUCGUGACGGUACCUGAUCAGAAAGCAACGGCUAACUACGUG